GACGAACGCUGGCGGCGUGCUUAACACAUGCAAGUCGAACGGAAAGGCCCUGCUUUUGUGGGGUGCUCGAGUGGCGAACGGGUGAGUAACACGUGAGUAACCUGCCCUUGACUUUGGGAUAACUUCAGGAAACUGGGGCUAAUACCGGAUAGGAGCUCCUGCUGCAUGGUGGGGGUUGGAAAGUUUCGGCGGUUGGGGAUGGACUCGCGGCUUAUCAGCUUGUUGGUGGGGUAGUGGCUUACCAAGGCUUUGACGGGUAGCCGGCCUGAGAGGGUGACCGACCACAUUGGGACUGAGAUACGGCCCAGACUCCUACGGGAGGCAGCAGUGGGGAAUAUUGCACAAUGGGCGGAAGCCUGAUGCAGCAACGCCGCGUGCGGGAUGACGGCCUUCGGGUCGUAAACCGCUUUCGCCUGUGACGAAGCGUGAGUGACGGUAAUGGGUAAAGAAGCACCGGCUAACUACGUG
rnacentral:rRNA from 1 species